CGAUUUUUCUAUAAGACAAAAAAAUUAUCCUUAUUGGAGUCAAAUUUGUAAUAUGGAUUCAUAAAGGACAAACCUUAUCCUCAGUCAGGGAAAAAACACCAUGGUAAAAAUAAAAUCCGUCAUUCUUUUCGAAUAAUCCUCGAAGGUUAACAUAUAGUUAUAUAAUGUAGCGACUUAGUGGGAUUGCGACGUCAAAGACGUUAUAUCUGCCACUGUACAAAAUAAGAAAAAAUGAACUUUUUUAAAACUGCCGAAUAAAUGUUUUGAGGCAGACAAGUCAAAUAAAAGUAGAUAUCUAUGAAGCAAAGAUUGCAUUUUGUUUCAAACUGAUAUAUAUGUGCACGAAAAAAAAAUCACCAUAAUAUUUAAUUUACGGUAUUAACGAUUACGAAAGCGUGUUGAUUGCGACGUUUGGUAAAGACGGCCUGUUUUUUAGCAGCACUAGUUAGCAUAUUUUAAAAUUUUAAAAGACAAGGAAAAUGAAGAAAAAUAAAUAUAUACAACAAAAAUAAGAGAAAGGAGAUGUUCGUACGGUGGCUUCCGUGAAAACGAAUAAAUUUGUUUUUGUUGAACAUGAGUUAAGUGUCCCAUUAAACAUAAUGAAUCAUCUUCUAGAUCUCAAGGCAGCAAAUAUAGUUAAUAGAAUAUUAUUGCAUUUGCCUGUGUUCUAUCCAUUAACAAACCUUGCUGUGAGGCAUGGUUACCGACAUCAGAAAAAUGAAUGAAAUAUUCGCCACUGGACGUUAAGCAACAAAAUAUCAAUCCUCACCGUUCCGUGAAUAGUUCACAAUUAUUUCUCUUUUUAAAAUUGAAAGGAUAAAAAAAUCCAAAAAUAAGAGUUGAAAAUACGCGAUUACAUCAGAAGAAAAAAUAUUCCAGACAUGCAGAAAUACAGCAUAAACACGACAGAAACAAUAAAACGAAGAAAAAAAAAAAACCAGAACAAUUUGAAAUACCAUAUAGAUAUACAUGUUUAAUCCGGCCCGUUUAAUCAGUAUACAAGCAGAUUAUAAACAGGUCACGAUUGAGCGAACAUGAACUUCUACCGAUUACACUAAAGGUGACAAUCGACUAAUUGAGGCGCGUGCCGAGAAAACAUUAAAUAACUUAUCUUUAAAAAAGAUAUAAUUAUAAAAUUUGAAAUUAUGUAUUUUUACAAAAUCUAUUUCUAUAUGCCAUGUCAUUUGUGACAGUUGUAUCAUUCCAUCAGGUCCCUAGUGCACAUUUUUGUUCUUAGUGCACUAAGGAGGUCGUUUGCGUUAUUUCUACGGACCCUUAGACUAUGGGUCCGUAGAAAGGUAGGCAUUUAUUUAAAAACAAUCUCCAUCCAACUUUAGAGUAUGACGUAAAUCGAUUUGUUUACGCUAGCUUAAGCAACCAACAGGAAAAAAAUCUUGCCUCCCCGAUCAAGACUAGUUAUAGACACGGAAUAAAAAUAAGGAAAUAAUAGCAUGUUAGAUUGGUUACAAAAACGUGAAACAGCUGUUUCUUGACUGAACUGGUCAGUGGUAAUACAAAACCGGGGUUUCAAAAAAUGAAGAAAAAGAAGCAGACAUUUUCAAUUUAUAAAAGAAGCAAAUCAGAAAAUUCAAUUAGUGUUUAACUGAAAUUGAAAAAAAAAGAAAUUAUAAAAAAUAUAGUAUAUAAUAUGUAAAUAUUUAUUUCAGAAAGCUAACAAUAAAAUGAAAGUAAAAUAUGUGAUGCUUAAGAACAACGGCCGAGGCCGUAACAGCCUCAUGUUGGAAAUUUAAAAAAAAAGUUGAAACAAAAGCUUGUCUUCAUCAUUGUUCAUAUCAAAUUGUUUUCACGGCGAAUGUCUUGCAAGAAGCAAACUCUCAUUAGUCCAGUGUCGCCCCUGCAUGUUUUUGAUUUACUUUUAGUAUUAAUCGUCUUUUGUUACUACUUAUGUGUCUUAUCUGUACCCCAUUUUUUACACCGGAUUUGUCUUUUGUUCAUUUAUUGUCCUAUUUUAUGGCUAUAGUCUAAGUGUUAAUUGUCAUUUGUAAAUGUCUGGUUACGCAAUGAUGCAUGUCCACCGAUAUCCAG
rnacentral:lncRNA from 1 species